rnacentral:misc_RNA from 1 species
GAUGAAGAACGUAGCGAAAUGCGAUAAGUAAUGUGAAUUGCAGAAUUCAGUGAAUCAUCGAAUCUUUGAACGCACAAUGCGCCCGCCAGCAUUCUGGCGGGCAUGCCUGUUCGAGCGUCAUUUCAACCCUCGACUUCCCUUUGGGGAAGUCGGCGUUGGGGACCGGCCGUAUACCGCCGGCCCCGAAAUGAAGUGGCGGCCCGUCCGCGGCGACCUCUGCGUAGUAAUCCAACUCGCACCGGAACCCCGACGUGGCCACGCCGUAAAACCCCCGACUUCUGAACGUUGACCUCGGAUCAGGUAGGAAUACCCGCUGAACUUAAGCAUAUCAAUAAGCGGAGGA